ACUUUACCCUCCAUCCACCAGGGCCGUGCCCACAGGACACACGUGGAGAGGACACAGGCGCCAACAGGAACUGGCCAGCCGGGAAAAAUGCUGAGAGCCCAGUGUGGAGUCAGAGGAAGAAGCGGGUGGCCCUAGCUCUGCCCUGCGGGGGGCAGCCCUGGGGGCUCAGGGUGGGCUCCUAGGGCCAGGAGUCCACCAGGGAAAGAUGGCUGGGGGCAUGGCUGGGAGGUGGGACCUCCAGGGUGGGGCUGUGGGCUAGGGCCCCUCCCCUCAUUGCCUCCAUCCCGCUGUUUCCCUGAAGCAUGGCCCUGACCGGUCUCCUCCCCAGCUGUGGGGCAAGAGGUCUCAUCUCACCUGCCAACGUACAUACCUGGACCAAGGGGCCCCGUGCCCUCUGGGGUUCCUGGGCCAUGCUGGCACCAUGCGGACUGCACACAGCGGGUGUCUCUGCCGCUGAGACCCUGAGCUGGGGGAGCCCUCUGUUCCUAGCUCUCUGCUCCCCUUCCUGGAGGGUUCUCAGGGUGAACUUGAGCCAGGAAUAAGUAAAGCUGGGAGACGGUCAGGAGCAGAGGGUCACCAGACUGCCAUCACCUACAGCCUUGCCGGCGGGCCCCUUGUGUGUCCCUCACACAGAAACCCCUCCCCUGGCCUAGGCUCUGCCCAAGUGGCCCACAGAGAGGGCCCGUCGCUCAGAGCCCCCGCCCCCGCCUUCCGUGGGGCAGUUUUCCCUGGCAACUGCCCAUCCAGUCCCUGGCCAGCAUCACCCUUGUUACUCAUGCUGGUGGCUCAGGAUUAUUGUGUCAACGUCACCCUCCACGUUUUGCCUUCAAAAGUGUCUCCUUGCCUCAGCCUUCUGAACAGGCUGGAGCUCAUUGUGACAUGCGAGUUCCCCUUGCAACGCUCCACUAAUCCCAGAUACGUGUCAUUUUUCCUUGGAAAAUCCUUCCCUGAUUGUUAUUAGGUUGAGAGAGUUUGGGCAAAAAUGGGCAGUGAAGAGAUAAAGAGGUGAAGACCCGGUGGAAGGAUCCCAGACGCGGCAGAGCUUGUAAGCUCUCACGGGCGUUGCUGAACUAGUGACCGCUUCCUGGUGGGAAACUGAGCCUCAGCUCAGGGGCCCUGGCCAUCGCAGCCACUGAGGGCCUUCUUGCCCAUGCAGGGAAGCAGCAGGCAUGGUCCUUGUCCUGCUGCAGGGGCCACCUGGGCACAACACCUAUUCUUUGGCAGAGCCUGGGCUUUGCCCCCCGCUUGAGACAGGCUGAUGACAACCCAGAUGUAUUUGGACUUUAUUUUUUAGAGUAGUUUGGUUUACAGUAAAACUGAGCAGAAGGUAUGGAGAGUCCCCAGAUGCUUGUGGUACAUUUGAUUUUUAACCUCCUCUUCCCAGAGGUGAAGAGGGCACAGUGCCCUUGGGAAAAAUACAGGCAGGACCCUGUGGGUCCACCUGCCAGUUGAGGAGCAGGGCCCUCAGGGGGACACUGUGGAUCUCCACGCUUGUGUGGGAUGCACCAUCACAGCAGAGCAGGCUCCCUGAAGGUCCACCCCCGAGUGCUAUGGCAAAGGGCCGGCUCUGCAGGGGACGGGUGGGUCUGCGUGUGGACAGUGCAUUGGAUGUGCAUUCAGUUUUUGAUAUUCAUUUGGUGCAGUUUGAGUGACCUGCGAGCCCCCGACCCCAUUCUGCUUUCAGAGAGUCUGACCCAAGAGGGUCAGUCCUGCAGCAGUGCUGGGGGGCAGCCCCCAGGCAGGGUGAGUGCUGAGCUGCUCUGGAGGGAAUGAGGCACACUGGGUCAGGAGUCUGCCCUGAAAGCAAUGGGCUCAGCGUGUUAGGGAUUAAACCAGGGCUUUGUGCACAGGAUGCCAAGCAAGUGUCCUACCCCUGAGCCACCGGUACCCCCAAGCUCACGGGCAGUGUGUGGACUGCAGGACUGGGCAAAGUCAGCUGUCCUUUACCAGGGGCUCUGGAGUCAUUGCCUGAGGCUCGCUUCUCCUGGUGCACAUCUCAGGCCUUGCUGGAGGGGACAGGCAGGAUGGCAUGUGCAGGGUCCACUUGGGACGCAGCUGGAGGCCUCAGCAUCUUCCAGCCCACAGAAUAAGGAAGAAGAAGAGGAGGAGAUGAGACAGCAUCGUUGUGACACAAUGGCAACCCAGUUCCCAACAGAGCAAGAUGCCAACCAUGGCACUGCUGGCCCCCAUGCUGUAACUGUACCCAAUGCCCACGAUUUGUCCCCGCUCCAUUGUGAGGGUGUUAGGAGGGGCCUUUGGAACGACUGGGAUCACUGCCUUUACUUCAGAGGCCCUGAGAGACUCUUCUCCCUCUGUCCACGCUGUGAGGGGCUCUGUGAACCAGACACAGGCCCUCACCAGACACCAAAUCUGCUGGCACCUUGACCUUAAAUCUUGCAGCCUCCAGAACUGAGGAGAAAAGUGUCUGUUGCUUAUAAGGCACCCCAACUAUGCUCAGGGUGAGCGGCAGGAACGGGCUCAGGGCCGGCCACCUGAGACCACUCUUGUCAGACAUCCGACAGCGGGCAGACUGGGCUGUCAUUCCAGUGUGAGCUCAUCCUGAAGGGUCACUUGUCUGAGGGCCCUCUUGGGUCCCCACACACUGCUGAGGGUGUCAACAAUGGAAAGCCCUCAACACUGUCCACCCAGCAGCUGCCCAGCGUGGAGUUUGUCCUGAAAACCCUUGAGGGGAAGAGCAGCAAGCUCAGUGCAGUCCAGGGACACUGGACUCCCCCAGCUCAGGGCCCCCCAGCAGCAAGGAUGCCCACCGUGUGCGCAGCCCCGACAGGCCCUGGAACGUGGGGCGACACACAGUGGCCCAUGUGAUCUGCACCACCGUGAGGAGUCGAGUCCUCUGUCUCUGACCCAGGAGUCGUGGGUCUCCGGCCAGCAUCUGUGCCACAGCAGGCCAGCUUAUUCUUAGACCUGACGGUGCCCUGUCACCCUCCAAGACACACAACGAGCUCUGGCUAGCAGCCCAUGAGCAGAAGUGACCUGCCGCAGAUCUGUGUGGCUGUAAGAGCCAUGAUGUGACCUCUGUCUCCUGCCCUCACCUGCCUGUCAGGAGACUGGCACGUUCCAGAUGCCACUGCUUACUCAGCCUGGGUCCCAGAGUGAGGGUGGCGUGAAGAGCACAGCCACACUGUGCCAACAGGACACAUAAGCAGGGGUCAGACACAGCUGAUCGGCUGGGGCUUGGGGCUCAUUUGUACGUGCAGCAAACCCAGCAAAGCUGAUCAGCAAGCUGUGGACGGACGGAGUCUAUAAACAGACGGUAGGAGCUGUCCUCUGAGGAUGUCUGCCCUACUCAGAUAAAGGCAAAUGCAUCUGUAUGUUUACCUCCAGUUUUGUGUUAUAUAAGAAUGGAGUUCAGGACCUGGCCCUCCAGCACCCGCAGAAGACUGUUCUGACCCCCUUUCUGUUUCUUAAAAGUAGAAAAUGAGACUAGGGCUGUGGCUCAGUGGCAGAGCACUUGCUUUGCAUGCAACAGUCCCGAGAUCCAAAGCGCCAGGUCCUGGCGCUCACCUAAAAAGGAAAACAAGAAACCAAACAGAUGGAGAGUUUACUAGGUGAAGUUCCUCCCUCCCCGCCCACUGGAAGUAAAAGCCACAUCCUUAUCUUCAUUCAAUGAGAAGCUGCAGCCAUCGCAACAAUUCUGCACUGGCUUUGUUAAAACAACUGCUUUUUGGCCUGUAAUCCCAGCUCAGGAGGCUGAGGCAAGAGGAUCGCAAGUUCGUGCCAGCCUCAUUCAGCAAUUUAUCGAGGCCCUAAGAAACUUAGCCAGACCCUGUCUCAAAAACAGCAAACCCUCUGACCUUCUCCCUACCCCCAAUUUAGUUAACCUCUUCCCAACUUCCUAUUCUUUGUCCAGUGAAGUGAAGAAGACGGGCUUCUAACUG